GCCGGGUGUUGUGGCGGGCGCCUGUAGUCCCAGCUACUUGGGAGGCUGAGGCAGGAGACUCGCUUGAGCCCAGGAGUUGGAGGUUGCUGUGAGUGUGAUGCCAUGGCACUCUGCCAGGGGCGACAUAGUGAGAAUCUGUCUCAA
rnacentral:SRP_RNA from 1 species